rnacentral:rRNA from 1 species
AUUGAACGCUGGCGGCAUGCCUAACACAUGCAAGUCGAACGAGUGGCGGACGGGUGCGUAAUGUCUGGGAAACUGCCUGAUGGCGGGGGAUAACUACUGGAAACGGUAGCUAAUACCGCAUACCAUCGGAUGUGCCCAGAUCGGAUUAGCUAGUAGGUGGGGUAAAGGCUCACCUAGGCGACGAUCCCUAGCUGGUCUGAGAGGACGACCAGCCACACUGGAACUGAGACACGGCCCAGACUCCUACGGGAGGCAGCAGUGGGGAAUAUUGGACAAUGGGCGAAAGCCUGAUGCAGCCAUGCCGCGUGUAUGAAGAAGGCCUUCGGGUUGUAAAGUACUUUCAGCAGGGAGGCGUUACCCGCAGAAGAAGCACCGGCUAACUACGUGCCAGCCGCCGCGGUAAUUC